GUGUUUUGGGUCAUCAAAACCAUGUUGCAGAAGUACCAUAUAGUAAAUAACACACUGGUGUUGUGGCACAACAAAUGCAGGCUUUGCUCUUGGAGGCCUUUAAGCAGCAUCAAGUACAGAUUGGGAAGGAACAGACCAUGGAAGAAGCAUCAGAGCAAGAUUUUAUACUCCUGUUAAAGACCAGCACCUUGUAAAUCAGACUCGGUUUUACUUGGCUAAGUGAAGCAUAAGCCCAAGAACAACAUCUAAAGUAGGCCAGGACGAGGUCACAGCUGUGUGCUGGGGAAGACAGCACGAUCCCUGGCUCCCAAAUACAUCACACACACACAUUCUCUCACAGGCUCCCGGCUUUGGAAUCGAGCCCAGGGGUGCAUCGGGAGAACACUGCAGGGAGUGAAACCUGGGCCAUGCCUUGGUGGCAGCCAGGUCAAACUGCUUUGCAAGCAAGCGUUGCCUUUCUCAGCCGAUGAGCCCUCGGUGAUCUGCCAGUGACUAAAGAAAACAUAGAGGAAAAUGAAGAAAUUCAAGCCUUUUGUUCAGUCCUCCCUCUACCAAGCAGUGGCAUCCACUUCCACUGAAAAUAGGAAAAAAAAGUUGAAUACCGUGAGAUACCUUGUGUCCAGCGAGUACUUUCUCCCCUUCCCAGGGGAAGGCAGGGCUGGACGCCUUACAGCAGUUUUCCUCACAGCCUGUCAAGCCAGAAACCACAUGUUCAUGGUUCGUGCUCCCUGCAAGGCAGGGUCUGGUAAAUAG
rnacentral:lncRNA from 1 species